UACGUAGGCAGCAAGCGUUGUUCGGAGUUACUGGGCGUAAAGGGUGUGUAGGCGGUUCUUUAAGUUUGCUGUGAAAUCUCCCGGCUUAACCGGGAGGGUGCGGUGAAUACUGAGGGACUAGAGUACGGGAGAGGAAAGUGGAAUUCCUGGUGUAGCGGUGAAAUGCGUAGAUAUCAGGAGGAACACCGGUGGUGUAGACGGCUUACUGGACCGCAACUGACGCUGAAACACGAAAGCGUGGGUAGCAAACAGG
rnacentral:rRNA from 1 species